CAACAUCACCUGGCUCUGAGGCUUCAUGGAACACUCUGGAGAUCUGCCCAUGGCUAGGGUCCUGUUUGGUGAGCCCCUGGUGCAACAGAGAGCAGGCCCAGGGUGAUGCUGCCUUAAUGGAGUUUUAGAGUGAAUAUGAAACCAAGUUACCAAGUGCAUUCAACCUAAGAAAAGGGGUUUUCUAAUGUGAAAUGUAUGACGGCAGCUGCCUAUCUAUCACACCCGGGAGGAAGACUAAUGAUAGGGACCCAGUGUGCUU